rnacentral:rRNA from 1 species
GUGGGGAAUUUUGGACAAUGGGGGCAACCCUGAUCCAGCAAUGCCGCGUGUGUGAAGAAGGCCUUCGGGUUGUAAAGCACUUUUGGCGGGAACGAAACGGUGGUCUCGAAUACAGACUGCUAAUGACGGUACCCGCAGAAUAAGCACCGGCUAACUACGUGCCAGCAGCCGCGGUAAUACGUAGGGUGCAAGCGUUAAUCGGAAUUACUGGGCGUAAAGCGUGCGCAGGCGGUUUUGUAAGUCUGUCGUGAAAUCCCCGGGCUCAACCUGGGAAUGGCGAUGGAGACUGCAAGGCUAGAAUCUGGCAGAGGGGGGUAGAAUUCCACGUGUAGCAGUGAAAUGCGUAGAGAUGUGGAGGAACACCGAUGGCGAAGGCAGCCCCCUGGGCUAAGAUUGACGCUCAUGCACGAAAGCGUGGGGAGCAAACAGGAUUAGAUACCCGAGUAGUCC